CCGCCCCGCCCGCCGCGCGCGGCGGGCGGAGCGGGGGCACGGGGGGAACGCGAAGAACCUUACCUACUCUUGACAUCCAGAGAACUUUCCAGAGAUGGAUUGGUGCCUUCGGGAACUCUGAGACAGGUGCUGCAUGGCUGUCGUCAGCUCGUGUUGUGAAAUGUUGGGCUAAGUCCCGCAACGAGCGCAACCCUUAUCCUUUGUUGCCAGCGGUUCGGCCGGGAACUCAAAGGAGACUGCCAGUGAUAAACUGGAGGAAGGUGGGGAUGACGUCCAGUCAUCAUGGCCCUUACGAGUAGGGCUACACACGUGCUACAAUGGCAUAUACAAAGAGAAGCGACCUCGCGAGAGCAAGCGGACCUCAUAAAGUAUGUCGUAGUCCGGAUUGGAGUCUGCAACUCGACUCCAUGAAGUCGGAAU
rnacentral:rRNA from 1 species